GUAGGGUGCGAGCGUUAAUCGGAAUUACUGGGCGUAAAGCGUGCGCAGGCGGUUUUGUAAGACAGGCGUGAAAUCCCCGGGCUUAACCUGGGAAUUGCGCUUGUGACUGCAAGGCUAGAGUGCGUCAGAGGGGGGUAGAAUUCCACGUGUAGCAGUGAAAUGCGUAGAGAUGUGGAGGAAUACCGAUGGCGAAGGCAGCCCCCUGGGACGUGACUGACGCUCAUGCACGAAAGCGUGGGGAGCAAACAGGAUUAGAUACCCUGGUAGUCCACGCCCUAAACGAUGUCAACUAGUUGUUGGGGAUUCAUUUUCUCAGUAACGUAGCUAACGCGUGAAGUUGACCGCCUGGGGAGUACGGUUGCAAGAUUA
rnacentral:rRNA from 1 species